rnacentral:lncRNA from 1 species
GGGUCAAGGCAGGCCUCUCACGGUGGUGCUAUUUCCUGAGGCCUGAGAGCUGAGACGGAGUUCUAGUGAAAGUCCUUGCCCUUAAACACUGGUCUGGGUCACUCAGCCCACUCCCCAUCUGAGGGAGAGCCCUUGGGCACCUCAGCUCUGCUCCUCAGCUCCAUGUCCUCAUCUGUACACUGGAGGCACACAGAGGGACCACCAUGUGAAGAGUACAAGCUAAGGAGAGAGGCCUCAGGGGAAAGCAACUCUGCUGGCAUCUUGAUCUUGGACUUCCAGCCUCCAGAACCGUGAGAAAGUAAAUUUGUGUUGUUUAAGUGGAAAAAAAAAAAGCUCACAAAAUUACUGGAAAUUUAACAAUCGGCUCUCACAAGCCAGUAUAUGCUGGAUUCAGCACACUAUUGCCUCCAACCCCUGGGCCAAUGGGAGCCCAUGGAAGUUCCUCAGAUCAGCUCUGAAGCCG